AACGAACGCUGGCGGCAGGCCUAAUACAUGCAAGUCGAACGCCGUAGCAAUACGGAGUGGCAGACGGGUGAGUAACGCGUGGGAACCUUCCUAAUGGUACGGAAUAGCCCGGGGAAACCCGGAGUAAUACCGUAUAAGCCCGUAAGGGGAAAGAUUUAUCGCCAUUAGAUGGGCCCGCGUCGGAUUAGCUAGUUGGUAGGGUAACGGCCUACCAAGGCUACGAUCCGUAGCUGGUCUGAGAGGAUGAUCAGCCACACUGGGACUGAGACACGGCCCAGACUCCUACGGGAGGCAGCAGUAGGGAAUAUUGGACAAUGGGCGAAAGCCUGAUCCAGCCAUGCCGCGUGAGUGAUGAAGGCCUUCGGUUGUAAGU
rnacentral:rRNA from 1 species